rnacentral:rRNA from 1 species
AUUGAACGCUGGCGGCAGGCCUAACACAUGCAAGUCGAGCGGAUGCAUCGAUCUUGCUCCUGGAUUCAGCGGCGGACGGUUGAGUCAUGCCUAUUACUCUGCCUUGUAGUUGGGGAUCACGUCCGAAUACGGGCUCUGCUACCUCAUACGUCCUGAUGGCGACAGUGGGGGAUCUUCGGACCUCUCGCUAUCAUAUGAGCAUAGUUCGGAUGAGCUAGUUGGUGGGGUAAAUGCCUAACAAGGCGGCGAUCCGUAACUGGUCUGAGAGGAUGAUCAGUCACAUGGGAAGUGAGAAACGGUACAGACUCCUACGGGAGGCAGCAGUGGGGAAUAUUGGACAAGGGGGGAAAGGCUGAUCCAGGCAAGCCGCGUGUGUGAAGAAGGACUUAGGAUGGUAAAGCAAUUAAAGUUGGGAGGAAGGGAAGUAAGUUAAGACCGGGAUGUUUUGACGUUACCAACAGAAGAAGCACCGGCUAACUUCGUG